rnacentral:rRNA from 1 species
CAGCAGCCACGGUAACACGUAGGGUGCGAGCGUUAAUCGGAAUUACUGGGCGUAAAGCGUGCGCAGGCGGUUCGUUAAGACAGAUGUGAAAUCCCCGGGCUUAACCUGGAAACUGCAUUUGUGACUGGCGAGCUAGAGUAUGGCAGAGGGGGGUAGAAUUCCACGUGUAGCAGUGAAAUGCGUAGAGAUGUGGAGGAAUACCGAUGGCGAAGGCAGCCCCCUGGGCCAAUACUGACGCUCAUGCACGAAAGCGUGGGGAGCAAGCAGGAUUAGAUACCCCAGUAGUCCCUGUCUCUUAUAC